rnacentral:rRNA from 1 species
UGGGGGAUAUUGCACAAUGGAGGAAACUCUGAUGCAGCGACGCCGCGUGAGUGAAGAAGUAUUUCGGUAUGUAAAGCUCUAUCAGCAGGGAAGAAAUGACGGUACCUGACUAAGAAGCCCCGGCUAACUACGUGCCAGCAGCCGCGGUAAUACGUAGGGGCAAGCGUUAUCCGGAUUUACUGGGUGUAAAGGGAGCGUAGACGGCGAUGCAAGUCUGAAGUGAAAUACCCGGGCUCAACCUGGGAACUGCUUUGGAAACUGUAUGGCUAGAGUGCUGGAGAGGUAAGCGGAAUUCCUAGUGUAGCGGUGAAAUGCGUAGAUAUUAGGAA